rnacentral:lncRNA from 1 species
CCGGGCCGUCGCCGGAGAACGGCUGGCCAGCGUCGUGGGGCGCGCUCCUCGGAAAAGUAGAGGAAGCGCACAGGUGGCUGAGCAUACAAACUGAAGAAAAAAUUGAAAUGCCAUUUUAAAAACUUGAAAGAGAACAGACAGCAUGCAUUGCAAGAUCUGCCUUGUCUUGCUGCCACCCUGGACUGCCUCACAUGAGGCACACAUAGAAUCGAAUAGUGCAAAGCUCUCUUGAGUCAAGAAGACCUGGACUCAAAGUCGGCUUCCUCUGUGUACUUACCCUGGGCCACCCCUCUGAGCUCUGAUUUGCUCGUCUGUAAAUUUGAGAUAAUGUAUUAUUAUCCCAAAAGCUAUGUAUUACACCUUGCUGGGUUCUUUAUAGGUUGAGUAAAAUAUUGUAUGAGAU